UACGUAGGGGGCAAGCGUUGUCCGGAUUUAUUGGGCGUAAAGAGCGUGUAGGCGGUCAGGUAGGUCGGUUGUGAAAACUGGAGGCUCAACCUUCAGAGGUCGACCGAAACCCCCUGGCUAGAGUCCGGGAGAGGAGAGUGGAAUUCCGUGGUGUAGCGGUGAAAUGCGCAGAUAUCAGGAAGAACACCCGUGGCGAAAGCGGCUCUCUGGAACGGUACUGACGCUGAGACGCGAAAGCGUGGGGAGCAAACAGG
rnacentral:rRNA from 1 species